rnacentral:rRNA from 1 species
UACGUAGGGAGCUAGCGUUGUUCGGAAUUACUGGGCGUAAAGCGCACGUAGGCGGCUUUUUAAGUCAGGGGUGAAAUCCCGGGGCUCAACCCCGGAACUGCCUUUGAAACUGGAGAGCUAGAAUCUUGGAGAGGCGAGUGGAAUUCCGAGUGUAGAGGUGAAAUUCGUAGAUAUUCGGAAGAACACCAGUGGCGAAGGCGACUCGCUGGACAAGUAUUGACGCUGAGGUGCGAAAGCGUGGGGAGCAAACAGG